ACGGAAAGGCCUGCAGCUUGCUGCGGGUACUCGAGUGGCGAACGGGUGAGUAACACGUGGGUGAUCUGCCUUGCACUUCGGGAUAAGCUUGGGAAACUGGGUCUAAUACCGGAUAGGACAGCUGUUUAGUGUCAGUUGUGGAAAGUUUUUUCGGUGCAAGAUGAGCUCGCGGCCUAUCAGCUUGUUGGUGGGGUAAUGGCCUACCAAGGCGUCGACGGGUAGCCGGCCUGAGAGGGUGUACGGCCACAUUGGGACUGAGAUACGGCCCAGACUCCUACGGGAGGCAGCAGUGGGGAAUAUUGCACAAUGGGCGGAAGCCUGAUGCAGCGACGCCGCGUGGGGGAUGAAGGCCUUCGGGUUGUAAACUCCUUUCGACAGGGACGAAGCGUAAGUGACGGUACCUGUAUAAGAAGCACCGGCUAACUACGUGCCAGCAGCCGCGGUAAUACGUAGGGUGCGAGCGUUGUCCGGAAUUACUGGGCGUAAAGAGCUCGUAGGUGGUUUGUCGCGUCGUCUGUGAAAUUCCGGGGCUUAACUCCGGGCGUGCAGGCGAUACGGGCUGACUUGAGUGCUGUAGGGGAGACUGGAAUUCCUGGUGUAGCGGUGAAAUGCGCAGAUAUCAGGAGGAACACCGAUGGCGAAGGCAGGUCUCUGGGCAGUAACUGACGCUGAGGAGCGAAAGCAUGGGUAGCGAACAGGAUUAGAUACCCUGGUAGUCCAUGCCGUAAACGGUGGGCGCUAGGUGUAGGGGGCUUCCACGUCUUCUGUGCCGUAGCUAACGCAUUAAGCGCCCCGCCUGGGGAGUACGCCGCAAG
rnacentral:rRNA from 1 species